ensembl:lncRNA
GCACAAUUGUCAAUCAACAGUUACUUAUAAUUUACAUUUAUGUAUGUAUUUAUUUCUGUAUUCAUUUAUGUAUUCAUUCAUUCAUUCAUGUAUUUAUUUAUUUAUUCAUUCAUUCAUUCAUUCAUUCGUGCAUUUAUUUAUUUAUUUAUUCAUUCAUUCAUUCAUUCAUUGUUCCCAAUAUGAUAAUGAGAGGAGGCCAGUAGGCGUGGAAACUGACGUUCAGACAUUUUGCAAUCAAUCCAGAGCCUUAGAUUCAAUCUAGCUAACUAGUGCAAGCACUUCUGCAUUUUCCCGUAAGAUCUGCAUAUAAUAUUUCAAGCUAGCUAAUAACCUAUAAAGAUUCUUUAUUAUUGUUAUUUAUUCAGUCUCGGGCGAGAGACUGUGGAGAGGUAUCUAUCUAGCUAGCUAGGUUGGUGACAAUCUAGAGAACAGUACAGUAACGUAGCAGUGUGGAGCAAGAUAGCUGCUAGUAACGUUAUUGUUCAAGGGAUGUGUGUGCAUGUUGCUGAAAGUAUUUCACAGU